rnacentral:rRNA from 1 species
CAGCCGUAAACUAUGCGCGUUAGGUGUACUGGUGACCACGAGUCACCGGGGUGCCGAAGGGAAACCGUGAAACGUGCCGCCUGGGAAGUACGGUCGCAAGGCUGAAACUUAAAGGAAUUGGCGGGGGAGCACCACAACACGUGGAGCCUGCGGUUUAAUUGGAUUCAACGCCGGGAAGCUCACCGGAUAGGACAGCAGAAUGAUUGCCGGGCUGAAGACCCUGCAUGACUAGCUGAGAGGAGGUGCAUGGCGUCAGUGACU